rnacentral:rRNA from 1 species
UUUCGAGUGAUCACGCUUAAUUAGAAACACCUUAAACCCAUUUCGAAUUUAUAGGUUAAGAAAUUAAGAGAUGACGAUAGGACGUCCGUGGGGAUUUCUGAAAAUAUUCUAUUGCUCGGAA